rnacentral:lncRNA from 1 species
AAUGAACCUGAGAAAUGAUAUGCAUGAAGAGAUUAGCUUUUUUUCUUUUCUUUUUCUUUUUCAUUUUUCAUUUCUUUUUUUUUGCAUUAUUUUUUUUGAAAAUAAACAUGCUAUGAUGCAAAUGAUGCAGACAAGACCGGCUGGCUCUGUAUCUCGGAGCACAGGAUCAAAGCUUCGGCUUGAAUUCGGAACCACAAAUCCAUCUGAGACCCAAAGUCAUUUGAGACCCAAAGUCAUCUGAACCCAUAGUCA